GUCUUCCGCGGGCGUGCCCGGGCCCCGGCGGCGUGAGGGCGGGCGCCGCGCCCGGAGGCGGCGCUGAGGCCCAUCCUCCGAGGCCCGCGGUGGGUCCGCGAGUAGAAGCUUGUGUGGGAGAAGGGGCUCAGCGCUGCAGCCUCCUCUCAGUGUUUGUGGCCUUAUUCUGCCCGCCGGAGCGAUGUCUCAGACCCAGGCAUCAGGCCGCGUGUGGUGGGGCAGCCGCAGGCCGCGAGCAGCAGAGCCGCUUGAGGCAGCUUCGGCCUCGAGGCUGCUUGGAGUGACUUCGGGCUCCGCAGAAAAAGCUUCUUCAAACGGCACGUGCUUGAGGUUAUUCCAGCCCCGUGGAGACACCUGGGAAUCCAUUUCCAAAAGAUGCUUAAAAAGGAUCCUCUCCAGCUUCCACUAAAAUCCCAGAGGUUCUCCAAGUCUCCAUCUCUCUCUCCAGCUGCCGGGAAGUCUGAUGCCGAAGCACCCACAGUCUGCUGGGGUAGCAGCUCCUCGUACCGCAGUUCCCUGAGAGGAGUCUCGUAUCAGGGCUUCCAGAAGCAGACACCUGAUUCCAGCUUUUGUACUUUUUGCAAUGCAGUGGCCACUCUCAGUUUUUGAGGAAGCACACUGAGCACCAGGGGGAAAUGCUGUGACCUACCACAGGUGCCUCUGCAUUGCUUGCUACAGGCCUCCACAGCCCCCCUGCUGACUGUCCAAGGAAUUAGGAAACUUAAUUUGGAAGGACAGCUGUGUGCAGCACCUAACAUUUAAAUACAUUAUGAGCCUAUCUAAGGACAACAGUGCAAGCUACCAUACUGGAUGAAACAUGAUGUUGCAUCGUGUAGGAACAUCCCCUGGCAAGGUCAACAGAAGGUUCAUCAG